UUUGUUUAAAUCCUCUUCAUCUUGUUCCGCAGCGCUACCCUAAGCAUUGGGAUUAGGGCUUUUAACUAGUAAUUAUUGCAGAAUUAAGGAGCUACGUCAAUCCUAAUUGUGUCUGCACUCUGCCACACCUCAUUUUGAUUGAUUCAUCAUCAACUUAAUCUGUGAAUAAUCUUUGAAUUCGAUCACAGAUUAAGUUUCGUUUCUUCGAGUUGGAGGAAUCCGCAAUCUGUUUUCCCUCGCUCUCCUCCCAUCCAAUCAAUUAGAGGUGAGCCACUACGUCAUAACUCUUUCUUUUUUCAUUUAUUUGACUGAUUUGCAUUCCGUGAAUUUCAAUGGAAUGCUGUGGCGAGGUUCUUCAUUGUCAGUCACCACAUGUAUAUUUCAAUUCUUGUUAGAACUGUAAUUACAUUUGACAUAUCGUACACAAAUUUACUUAUAUUAAUUUGGUUGGUUUAUGUUUAGAUCUAAAUCUCGUUACUGCGGCAUCAUUCCCUCCGUAAGAAACUCACAAUUCUUGACUGGUACGACAAUCUUUCAAUACUCUCUCUCUCUCUCUACUGUGAAGAUUGUGUUCUACAUGCUUGAUUGUCAAUAUCUAAUAUUUUUACUAUUAUCUGCUUUCAAUCUGGUUGAAAAGGAUAGUAGUUUGUUAUAUUUUGUCACACAUCAUGAUGGUUAAGUUGAAAAUCGCUCUGCCAAACAAUUCUCUGGAGUUGCUUUGCAAGCAUUGUUGUUUUGUGAUUUCUUAUUGCUUUUAAAUGAUGCUUCUUCUGAACCCUCUUUGCUCUUUGAUGCAUAUCGUAUACCUUAAUGUAAGUUAGUUAUUAGCUUCAUUGCAUCGAUUAUAAUUUACCCAUCCAAAGAGUGUUGAGAAACGAAAUCUGGAAUUGUUCUCAAACAGAAAAUGGAGCUACCCUUUGCAGAAUUUCAUAUUUUUAUUCUGUUUAUAAGUUUACAGGGAAAUUGUCUUGGCUAUAUAAGGGAAAGAAGCUAAAUUAAGUAUCACAACAUGCCUUUUGUAACCCUUUUCAUGUCAUUUAUGUCUUGUGUAAAAGAACUCAACGGAAGACUUUCUCUAUCCAUAAUGGCUUAUUCGGUUCUUCUAAUUAUAAAACGUUUUUCUUUUAAUCUCUAUUUAAAAACAUCAUAUUUUAAAUCCCACACAUACCAUUUUUAAUCCCUUCAACGAGAAUUCAAAGAGAUUAAAGAUUAUGUGUGGGCACUAAAAGCAAAUAUUUAUAGGUAUAGAGACUAAAAGAGAGUUUUUAAAACUAUAGGAACCGAAUGAAAUAUUAAACUUAGAAUUUAUAUGGUUGUUUCCAGCAAAGUUGUUGUGAUAAUACUGUCAAUGUCAAUACUUCAUGUUUUUUCCGUUUAUUUCAUCGGAAGGGAGAGCAUUUGCUUCCUGUUCACAGUGGCUGAUUUCCUCCUCUUUUAGUCAAACAUGUUACCACUUAUGUGCUAUAACUAUAAGGUCUACAGAAAUAUAAAAUGACUAGAGUUCUCCUUGACGCUGCUGCUUCUCUGAAGACUCAGAUUGAUACCAAUAGAGACUUGGGUAUUACAGUGCUUAAGUUUAAUAUGAAGUAGUAAGAGAUAUUCGAUGGAUUAGUCCAAUGGUUUGGUUCUCCUCUUUUAGCGGGCACGUUUUUAGGGAGAGUUUUGCUUGUCUUCAGAUGCUUAUAACAACUUUGUAUAGCUUCAUGGUUGUUAUUCCUUAUUAGGAUGUAUCGGUGCUUAAUAUUUUUGGACAAUGUAUGUUUAAACUUUGCCAUUUUACACUAUUGAUGAAAAGAAGGC
rnacentral:lncRNA from 1 species